GUGAAGGGCCUAAAUGCCCUAAAAGCACCAGAUCCUGUUUGGUCUCAGAAGCUAAAUAGGGCAAGCUCUGAUUAGUAGUUGGAUGGGAGACUGCCAACAAAUACCAGGUGCUGUUGACA
rnacentral:rRNA from 1 species